rnacentral:rRNA from 1 species
GAUGAACGCUGGCGGCGUGCUUAACACAUGCAAGUCGAGCGAGUGAGUUCUUCGGAACGAUCUAGCGGCGGACGGGUGAGUAACACGUGGGCAACCUGCCUCAUAGAGGGGAAUAGCCUCCCGAAAGGGAGAUUAAUACCGCAUAACAUCGUUGAAGGGCAUCCUUCGAUGAUCAAAGGAGCAAUCCGCUAUGAGAUGGGCCCGCGGCGCAUUAGCUAGUUUGUGAGGUAACGGCUCACCAAGGCGACGAUGCGUAGCCGACCUGAGAGGGUGAUCGGCCACAUUGGGACUGAGACCCGGCCCAGACUCCUACGGGAGGCAGCAGUGGGGAAUAUUGCACAAUGGGGGAAACCCUGAUGCAGCAACGCCGCGUGAGUGAUGACGGCCUUCGGGUUGUAAAGCUCUGUCUUUGGGGACGAUAAUGACGGUACCCAAGGAGGAAGUCACGGCUAACUACGUGCCAGCAGCCGCCGUAA